rnacentral:rRNA from 1 species
UCUGACCGCUCUAGAGAUAGAGUUUUCCUUCGGGACAGAGGUGACAGGUGGUGCAUGGUUGUCGUCAGCUCGUGUCGUGAGAUGUUGGGUUAAGUCCCGCAACGAGCGCAACCCCUAUUGUUAGUUGCCAUCAUUGAGUUGGGCACUCUAGCGAGACUGCCGGUAAUAAACCGGAGGAAGGUGGGGAUGACGUCAAAUCAUCAUGCCCCUUAUGACCUGGGCUACACACGUGCUACAAUGGCUGGUACAACGAGUCGCGAGUCGGUGACGGCAAGCUAAUCUCUUAAAGCCAGUCUCAGUUCGGAUUGUAGGCUGCAACUCGCCUACAUGAAGUCGGAAUCGCUAGUAAUCGCGGAUCAGCACGCCGCGGUGAAUACGUUCCCGGGCCUUGUACACACCGCCCGUCACACCACGAGAGUUUGUAACACCCGAAGUCGGUGAGGUAACCGUAAGGAGCCAGCCGCCUAAGGUGGGAUAGAUGAUUGGGGUGAAGUCGUAACAAGGUAGCCGUAUCGGAAGGUGCGGCUGGAUCACCUCCUUUCUAAGGAA